rnacentral:rRNA from 1 species
GACGAACGCUGGCGGCGUGCUUAACACAUGCAAGUCGAACGGAAAGGCCCCUUUGGGGGUACUCGAGUGGCGAACGGGUGAGUAACACGUGAGUAACCUGCCCUUGACUUCGGGAUAACUUCAGGAAACUGGGGCUAAUACCGGCUAGGAAUCCUUGCUGCAUGGUGGGGGUUGGAAAGCUUCGGCGGUUUUGGAUGGACUCGCGGCUUAUCAGCUUGUUGGUGGGGUAGUGGCUUACCAAGGCUUUGACGGGUAGCCGGCCUGAGAGGGCGACCGGCCACAUUGGGACUGAGAUACGGCCCAGACUCCGACGGGAGGCAGCAGUGGGGAAGAUUGCACAAUGGGCGGAAGCCUGAUGCAGCAACGCCGCGUGCGGGAUGACGGCCUUCGGGUUGUAAACCGCUUUCAGCAGGGGCGAAGCUUGUGGUGACGGUACCUGCAGAAGAAGCACCGGCUAACUACGUG